UCCGGUUCCUCACCGGCAGUCUCCUUAGAGUCCCCAACUUAAUGCUGGCAACUAAGGACAAGGGUUGCGCUCGUUACGGGACUUAACCCAACAUCUCACAACACGAGCUGACGACAGCCAUGCAGCACCUGUCUCUGCGUUCCUUUCGGCACUCCAACUUCUCAGUCAGAUUCGCAGGAUGUCAAGAGUAGGUAAGGUUCUUCGCGUUGCAUCGAAUUAAACCACAUGCUCCACCGCUUGUGCGGGCCCCCGUCAAUUCCUUUGAGUUUCAACCUUGCGGCCGUACUUCCCAGGCGGAAGACUUAUCGCGUUAGCUUCGAUACUGCUAGGUUCCCCCAGCAACAUCUAGUCCUCAUCGUUUACAGCGUGGACUAC
rnacentral:misc_RNA from 1 species